rnacentral:rRNA from 1 species
ACGGAGCUUGCUCUGGUGGCGAGUGGCGAACGGGUGAGUAAUAUAUCGGAACGUACCCUAGAGUGGGGGAUAACGUAGCGAAAGUUACGCUAAUACCGCAUACGAUCUUAGGAUGAAAGUGGGGGAUCGCAAGACCUCAUGCUCGUGGAGCGGCCGAUAUCUGAUUAGCUAGUUGGUAGGGUAAAAGCCUACCAAGGCAUCGAUCAGUAGCUGGUCUGAGAGGACGACCAGCCACACUGGAACUGAGACACGGUCCAGACUCCUACGGGAGGCAGCAGUGGGGAAUUUUGGACAAUGGGCGAAAGCCUGAUCCAGCAAUGCCGCGUGAGUGAAGAAGGCCUUCGGGUUGUAAAGCUCUUUUGUCAGGGAAGAAACGGUGAGAGCUAAUAUCUCUUGCUAAUGACGGUACCUGAAGAAUAAGCACCGGCUAACUACGUGCCAGCAGCCGCGGUAAUACGUAGGGUGCAAGCGUUAAUCGGAAUUACUGGGCGUAAAGCGUGCGCAGGCGGUUUUGUAAGUCUGAUGUGAAAUCCCCGGGCUCAACCUGGGAAUUGCAUUGGAGACUGCAAGGCUAGAAUCUGGCAGAGGGGGGGUAGAAUUCCACGUGUAGCAGUGAAAUGCGUAGAUAUGUGGAGGAACACCGAUGGCGAAGGCAGCCCCCUGGGUCAAGAUUGACGCUCAUGCACGAAAGCGUGGGGAGCAAACAGGAUUAGAUACCCUGGUAGUCCACGCCCUAAACGAUGUCUACUAGUUGUCGGGUCUUAAUUGACUUGGUAACGCAGCUAACGCGUGAAGUAGACCGCCUGGGGAGUACGGUCGCAAGAUUAAAACUCAAAGGAAUUGACGGGGACCCGCACAAGCGGUGGAUGAUUGUGGAUUAAUUCGAUGCAACGCGAAAAACCUUACCUACCCUUGACAUGGCUGGAAUCCUUGAGAGAUCAGGGAGUGCUCGAAAGAGAACCAGUACACAGGUGCUGCAUGGCUGUCGUCAGCUCGUGUCGUGA